rnacentral:rRNA from 1 species
GACCUACGGGAGGCAGCAGUGGGGAAUAUUGCACAAUGGGGGAAACCCUGAUGCAGCGACGCCGCGUGAGCGAAGAAGUAUUUCGGUAUGUAAAGCUCUAUCAGCAGGGAAGAAAAAUGACGGUACCUGAGUAAGAAGCACCGGCUAAAUACGUGCCAGCAGCCGCGGUAAUACGUAUGGUGCAAGCGUUAUCCGGAUUUACUGGGUGUAAAGGGAGCGCGGGCGGUAUGGCAGGUCAGAUGUGAAAACCCAGGGCUCAACCCUGGGACUGCAUUUGAAACUGCCAUACUGGAGUGCCGGAGAGG